rnacentral:rRNA from 1 species
GACGUAGGGCGCGAGCGUUGUCCGGAAUUACUGGGCGUAAAGCGUGCGCAGGCGGCUUCGCAAGUCAGGCGUGAAAUCCCCGGGCUUAACCUGGGAAUGGCGUCUGAAACUACGGAGCUGGAGUGUGGCAGAGGGAGGUAGAAUUCCAGGUGUAGCGGUGAAAUGCGUAGAUAUCUGGAGGAACACCGGUGGCGAAGGCGGCAUCCUGGACCAACACUGACGCUGAGGAGCGAAAGCCAGGGGAGCAAACGGG